GGCUCUCUAAUGGCCUGCCUGCCACAUUCAAAAUGUGAGACUAUGGGACUUACAGAAGUAAAAGCAGGAACAACAUCCUCUGAUGCUGAAUGUGAGAAAGUGACUUCAGUUGGUCUCAUAGCUGGAGUCACAGCUGCAGUUCUUAUAGCUGUAACUGUGGCAUUAUUAUCAUGCUUUAUAUACAGAAAACGUAAAGCAUGGGGCCCUAACGAACGAGUCUGGCACAUACCACAACAAGCAACUGACGAUCCAUAAUCAAAGUGGCACGGUUUGGACCGACAGUAUUAACAGUAACCCCAUGUGGCGAGGGGGGCGUGGCUCAGCGAGGUCUGCAGCGGGAGAGAGAGCUGGGAGACGAGCGGUGAGUAAGUGGGUCAAGUGCAAAUGACAAACACCUGUGUCUUAUUCCAGUAAGUGGCGUGGGGAGACCGUAUAAAAGACACCUGGGAACGUCAGAGAGGAGAGAGAGCUACUGUGGACUGGAGGCUGCGAUCUGGGGAUUGUGCGAGUGUGACGUGUGCUCAGGAGAGCAGGACUGUUUCCGUGCGGUUGCACGAUUAUGUUGAGCGCUGAGAGCGCGACUUUCUGUUGUUUUUGGAAAACUAAAUAAAAACCCCAGUCUCAGCCUAGCCGACCUCGUCCUCUUCCUUCCUACCCAUUUGACUUUGUUACACUGGUGCCGAAACCCGGGAAGGAAGCAGGAGGGACGCUGCCAUCAUGCAGGCUCCCACAAGCACGCCGUUUGCGGACGUAAUCUCAUCUCUUGCGGUCCUCCACCAGGAACAACAUCAGGCGCUGCUGGACAUGCGGACUGACCAGGAGCACCGCUUCCAGGCCAUUUGUCGGGCGCAGCAGGAGGACCGCGAGGCGUUCGGAGCUGGAUGAACCGAGAGGUUCGGGCAGAAACCACCGCACGGGCAACCCC